GGGAGGGUAUUUAAGAACCAGGGAGGAGAGAGGCUACUUUUUCCAGCGUGGUCUGUCUGGCUGGUCCCUACUAGGUAUGAGGAGUCCCAAGGUGAUGCUGUGACUAUGAAAUUAGAGGAAAAAUGGUAAGUGAAGACAGACUGGUAAGGCAAGACAGUCUGGUGGAGGGGAGUCAUUAAUGCAACAUAGACCUUGAAAUGGCUGCAUGCAAAUGCGAUACAGUGAGACAUUGACAUUCGUGCUGAUGAGCAGCCCAGCUGGAUACUUGGGCAGAAUCAAAG
rnacentral:lncRNA from 1 species